GGAGGGUGCGAGCGUUGUUCGGAAUCACUGGGCGUAAAGGGCGUGUAGGCGGCCUGCUAGGUCUGAUGUGAAAGCCCGGGGCUCACCCCCGGAAGGGCAUUGGAUACUGGCAGGCUCGAGUCCCGGAGAGGAGGGUGGAAUUCCUGGUGUAGCGGUGAAAUGCGUAGAUAUCAGGAGGAACACCGGUGGCGAAGGCGGCCCUCUGGACGGUGACUGACGCUGAGACGCGAAAGCGUGGGGAGCAAACAGGAUUAGAUACCCUGGUAGUCCACGCUGUAAACGAUGAGCACUAGGUGUCGUGGGUAUUGACCCCCGCGGUGCCGUAGCUAACGCAUUAAGUGCUCCGCCUGGGGACUACGGCCGCAAGGCUA
rnacentral:rRNA from 1 species